CGUGCCCACUACUCUAUUCAUUUCCCUCUCCCUCCACCGCCCCCACCCACUCUCCUCGCUGCGGGACAGAAGAGAGAAGUGACCAAGCGCCGGCGACGAGGCGGGCAUGCGUCGGUGACGAGGCGGGCGGCGACGGGGAGAAGUUUCACCGGUGGUGCAGGGGCCGGAUCUGGCCGAAAUCGGGCCGAAGGCGGGGGAGAGGCAGAUGCUCGCCGGACGAGCUCAGUGUCAGCACCAGCACGCUCGUCGGGGAGUGCGGCGAGCAGCAGCAGGCUCGAUGGAGAAGGGCGGCGUGCAGGGGAGAGGCGGAGGCUCACCACCAGCACGCUCUCCGGAGAGUUCGGCGAGCAGCAACCCACCACCAGCAGGCUCGCUGGGUGGCGCUCCGGAUCCUGCGUUGGCGCGGCGAGGCCUCCUCCCCUCGUCCCAGCCGUAGGAGGACACACAGUUCAAGUCUUCAUGGCAAGUUUUUGUUGCACUGCACUGUGAGGCUGUUUGCUGCAUCUGAUAUUUUCUUCAAGUCUAAUCUCAUUGCUGUUAUAAAGGAAGAUGCCUGCUACGACCGUGUUCGUAGUCUCGUUGAUCAGCUCCGGCCAUGGCUCCAGUGAAAUAACGUGCUCUGCUAAUUCUGCAUUUUUUGACUAAAAAGCAUAUACUGUGUGUGACUCAUAUUUUGUGGGGUUGCAGAUUCUCAGUGAGGAAGCCAGCAGGAAGUAUAUCACUCUGCUUUUGUGAAUGCAGUGAGCCGUUGUGCCAUUUCCUGGCCGCCGAGCCUUCAGAUUCGGCGCUUCGACGAAAGAACGGGGGGACUCGCCCAUCUACUUCGCCAACUCCGGUAACACGCGCGAGAGGAUCACCACGAACGGACCAGUGCCAAGGGCAAGACCGGCGUGCAGUACAUCGUCCUUGACAUGGGUGCAGCCAUCAGCAGCAUCGUCAGGAGGGGCAUGCUGGACGAGCUCAAGAAGACCCUGGACAGGAGGGGCAUUCAGCAAACGUGGGAGAAAUUUAUAUUCAGUUAGCAGAUGGCAAUUUAUAUUCAGAUGAUAUGGCUACUUCAUAUCAGGGAGAAAUUUUAGAGUGAAGAGCAUAUUAAGUUACCAUCAGUUUUUUUGACAUACCAAAUUGAUGCUGGAACUGUAUGCACUGGUAAUGUUAAUUGCCAUGGCAAAAAUACUUUUUAAUAAAGUCGCCAUCAGUUUUUUAUUCA